rnacentral:misc_RNA from 1 species
UACGUAGGGGGCAAGCGUUGUCCGGAAUUAUUGGGCGUAAAGCGCGCGCAGGCGGUCUCUUAAGUCUGAUGUGAAAGCCCACGGCUCAACCGUGGAGGGUCAUUGGAAACUGGAAGACUUGAAUGCGGAAGAGGAAAGUGGAAUUCCAUGUGUAGCGGUGAAAUGCGUAGAGAUGUGGAGGAACACCAGUGGCGAAGGCGACUUUCUGGUCUGUAACUGACGCUGAGGCGCGAAAGCGUGGGGCGCGAACAGG